rnacentral:rRNA from 1 species
CCUACGGGUGGCAGCAGUGGGGAAUAUUGGGCAAUGGGCGCAAGCCUGACCCAGCAACGCCGCGUGAAGGAAGAAGGCUUUCGGGUUGUAAACUUCUUUUCUCAGGGACGAAGCAAGUGACGGUACCUGAGGAAUAAGCCACGGCUAACUACGUGCCAGCAGCCGCGGUAAUACGUAGGUGGCAAGCGUUAUCCGGAUUUACUGGGUGUAAAGGGCGUGUAGGCGGGAAAGCAAGUCAGAUGUGAAAACCAUGGGCUCAACCUGUGGCCUGCAUUUGAAACUGUUUUUCUUGAGUGCUGGAGAGGCAAUCGGAAUUCCGGGUGUAGCGGUGAAAUGCGUAGAUAUACGGAGGAACACCAGUGGCGAAGGCGGAUUGCUGGACAGUAACUGACGCUGAGGCGCGAAAGCGUGGGGAGCAAACAGGAUUAGAUACCCCAGUAGUC